GGCUUUGCAGCACAAUGAGUUUUUGGGAAGAAACUUCUGUCCAACACUCAAUAUAACAAACGGCAAUCACUGUCCUGGCUAUGUAAUAUGUUCUGGUGAAGAAUUCUUGUUAAUGCAGGACAUGGAUCUCUCACCUUGGGGCUUGUGGAGGAAUCAUCUGGCUUUGGAUAUUCUGAUAUUUAUCUUUCUCAUAAUUGCCUACCUAAGAAUGUUAUACCUUAAAAGAAAUUCUUAAAUUUCACUUUCA